rnacentral:rRNA from 1 species
CGCGAAACCUUUACACUGCACGCAAGUGCGAUAAGGGGACCCCGAGUGCGAGGGCAUACAGUCCUCGCUUUUCACUACCGUACGAUGGUAGUGGAAUAAGAGCUGGGCAAGACCGGUGCCAGCCGCCGCGGUAAUACCGGCAGCUCGAGUGAUGGCCGAUCUUAUUGGGCCUAAAGCGUUCGUAGCCGGCCACACAAGUCCACCGGGAAAUCCGCCAGCCCAACUGGCGGGCGUCCGGUGGAAACUGUGUGGCUAGGGACCGGAAGACCCGAAGGGUACGUCUUGGGUAGGAGUGAAAUCCUGUAAUCCUGGACGGACCGCCGAUAGCGUAAGCACUUCGGGAAGACGGAUCCGACGGUGAGGGACGAAAGCCAGGGUCUCGAACCGGAUUAGAUACCCGGGUAGUCCUGGCCGUAAACGAUGUCUGCUAGGUGUGGCUCCCACUACGAGUGGGUGCUGUGCCGUAGGGAAGCCGCUAAGCAGACCGCCUGGGAAGUACGUCCGCAAGGAUGAAACUUAAAGGAAUUGGCGGGGGAGCACUACAACCGGAGGAGCCUGCGGUUUAAUUGGAAUCA